CUGCCAAUGUGUCUCUAUCCCUCCCUGUCCAUGUGCGUCUCCUCCUUUCAGGUGUCUCUCCACCCUCCUGUCCUGUACCUGCUCACUAUGGUACAGUACCUGGUCUGAUAGAAAGUGCUCUCGCAGUGAGCACUUUCUUGCAGACUGCAGUCCGCUCGGCCAUGCUAAAAUAGCGGCAGGAGGGAAACAGCUCAGCAUAGCACUCCACUCCUACCAAUCACUAUCAUUGUUACUUACCUUUCACAAACUCUGCUCCUCAGUCCGAAUCCAGGAAGCGCUGGCGCAAAAUAAAAUGGCAAUGGGUCCGUGCAGUGUUCGUAAAGGCAGGAAAACGUAAAGUGGGAGUACGUAAACCGGGAAAUGCCUGUAUUUGUAUUUAAUUUUGUAUUACACAGCCAUAUAACAAUGCUGCCUAACACCCCAUUUUGCCUAUGAAGUUUUAAUAAGUUUGUGGGGGUUUAGAAAAUACCCCUUUCUGUCUCAUUAGAGAUUUUUUAAACUGCAGCUGAAAGAAGCAAGGUGAAUUGUUAACAUAGAACUCACCUAAGAGGUUUGCCUUAAAUGGCC